UACGGAGGAUGCAAGCGUUAUCCGGAAUCAUUGGGCGUAAAGCGUCCGUAGGUGGCUUUUCAAGUCUGCCGUCAAAGACCGGGGCUUAACCCCAGAAAGGCGGUGGAAACUGAAUAGCUAGAGUGCGGUAGGGGUAGAGGGAAUUCCCGGUGUAGCGGUGAAAUGCGUAGAGAUCGGGAAGAACACCGGUGGCGAAGGCGAGUCUCUGGACGACUCCUGACACUGAGGCACGAAAGCUAGGGGAGCAAACAGG
rnacentral:rRNA from 1 species